ACUCCUACGGGAGGCAGCAGUAGGGAAUCUUCCACAAUGGGCGCAAGCCUGAUGGAGCAACACCGCGUGAGUGAAGAAGGGUUUCGGCUCGUAAAGCUCUGUUGUUAAAGAAGAACACGUAUGAGAGUAACUGUUCAUACGUUGACGGUAUUUAACCAGAAAGUCACGGCUAACUACGUGCCAACAGCCGCGGUAAUACGUAGGUGGCAAGCGUUAUCCGGAUUUAUUGGGCGUAAAGAGAGUGCAGGCGGUUUUCUAAGUCUGAUGUGAAAGCCUUCGGCUUAACCGGAGAAGUGCAUCGGAAACUGGAUAACUUGAGUGCAGAAGAGGGUAGUGGAACUCCAUGUGUAGCGGUGGAAUGCGUAGAUAUAUGGAAGAACACCAGUGGCGAAGGCGGCUACCUGGUCUGCAACUGACGCUGAGACUCGAAAGCAUGGGUAGCGAACAGGAUUAGAUACCCUGGUAGGAUAG
rnacentral:rRNA from 1 species